ACUGCCAAGUCACUCGCUUCAUCGUCGGCGGCGCUGACCUCAUGCUUCCUGGAGUGCGUGUGCCCAAGGACGGGUUCCCUCUGGAAGGGGAGGGCAGCUUUAGCCAGGGCGACGUGUACUGCGUUAUGGUACCAGGC
rnacentral:SRP_RNA from 13 species